CCUACGGGGGGCUGCAGUGGGGAAUUUUGGACAAUGGGGGCAACCCUGAUCCAGCAAUGCCGCGUGUGUGAAGAAGGCCUUCGGGUUGUAAAGCACUUUUGGCGGGAACGAAACGGCUUGGGCUAAUACCUCGAGCUAAUGACGGUACCCGCAGAAUAAGCACCGGCUAACUACGUGCCAGCAGCCGCGGUAAUACGUAGGGUGCAAGCGUUAAUCGGAAUUACUGGGCGUAAAGCGAGCGCAGGCGGUUAUGUAAGACAGAUGUGAAAUCCCAG
rnacentral:rRNA from 1 species